AGAGUUUGAUCAUGGCUCAGAACGAACGCUGGCGGCAGGCCUAACACAUGCAAGUCGAGCGCUUCACUUCGGUGAGGAGCGGCGGACGGGUUAGUAACGCGUGGGAAUAUACCCAGUUCUAAGGGAUAGCGACUGGAAACGGUGAGUAAUACCUUAUACGCCCUUCGGGGGAAAGAUUUAUCGGAAUUGGAUUAGCCCGCGUUAGAUUAGAUAGUUGGUGAGGUAACGGCUCACCAAGUCUACGAUCUAUAGCUGGUUUGAGAGGAUGAUCAGCAACACUGGGACUGAGACACGGCCCAGACUCCUACGGGAGGCAGCAGUGGGGAAUCUUGGACAAUGGGCGCAAGCCUGAUCCAGCCAUGCCGCGUGAGUGAUGAAGGCCUUAGGGUCGUAAAACUCUUUCGCCAGGGAUGAUAAUGACAGUACCUGGUAAAGAAACCCCGGCUAACUCCGUGCCAGCAGCCGCGGUAAUACGGAGGGGGUUAGCGUUGUUCGGAAUUACUGGGCGUAAAGCGUACGUAGGCGGAUUAGAAAGUUAGGGGUGAAAUCCCAGGGCUCAACCCUGGAACUGCCUUUAAAACUCCUAGUCUAGAGGUCGAGAGAGGUGAGUGGAAUUCCAAGUGUAGAGGUGAAAUUCGUAGAUAUUUGGAGGAACACCAGCGGCGAAGGCGGCUCACUGGCUCGAUACUGACGCUGAGGUACGAAAGUGUGGGGAGCAAACAGGAUUAGAUACCCUGGUAGUCCACACCGUAAACGAUGAAUGCCAGACGUCAGCAAGCAUGCUUGUUGGUGUCACACCUAACGGAUUAAGCAUUCCGCCUGGGGAGUACGGUCGCAAGAUUAAAACUCAAGAAAUUGACGGGGGCCCGCACAAGCGGU
rnacentral:rRNA from 1 species